rnacentral:rRNA from 1 species
UACGAAGGGGGCUAGCGUUGCUCGGAUUUACUGGGCGUAAAGGGCGCGUAGGCGGACAGUUAAGUCGGGGGUGAAAGCCCGGGGCUCAACCUCGGAAUUGCCUUCGAUACUGGCUGUCUUGAGUGUGAGAGAGGUGUGUGGAACUCCGCGUGUAGAGGUGAAAUUCGUAGAUAUUCGGAAGGAACACCAGUGGCGAAGGCGACACACUGGCUCACUACUGACGCUGGAGGC